UUCAAGCUCUGACCACUCCGGAAAGAGAGCCUCCUCCUGUCUGCCUUUCCAAAAUAUAGAACUCUUGGCUCUUCCAGCACCAUAUGUUCCUGGAUGCUCCGUUCUUCUCACUAUGAUGAUAAUGGACUGAACCUCUGAAACUUCACAAGAAGAAGGGGUUACUGGAACAGCUGAUGCUGGUUAGCUGGAGGGGGUCAAAAGGAGAAGAGGUCCCAGAAUGUACCAGUAAUACAGAGCCCUUCCCAGGACCCCCAAAUCUGGAACCUUCUGUGGAGAAUCAGAGAGGCAAAGAGACAUCACCAAAAUACAAUAUCUUCCACAUUCUGGAAAUGGAGCAAUGUAUCAAACAGCAUGAUGAUGUGGUCCCUCACUGGAAUGGCAGAAAUAUAGCUAUUCUUCUAUAUCAUCUUCUUUGGGACUGGGGGAACAUUUUAGAAAAGAAAGGAAGAAAGAAUCUAAGAAUGAGAAGAAGCGGUAAUAUGUGUCAUGGCUGUCCUCUGAACCAAGCAACUGACAUCUUGAGGCAUUAAUCUGUGCUACAUUGUAAAAGAUCAUUUCAGCAGUUCCCCAAAUUCUGCACCCAUAUCUCUGUAAGUAACACCUUUCCUAUGCUCAUUAAGGAAGCUCAUUGAUUUACCAGAGCAAACUUUGGCAGAAUUGUGCCUUUGUUUGUCAUUGGGACCUUAUUAGAGAAGGCAGACCUUGCAUGUUUCCCCUAGGGAAGGAAUUUUAGCAAUAUUGUAUCAACUUAUAAUUUUAUUUUCUGUAUAUUAUGGUGUCACUUCACAUUCUAAAACUCUUUUGGCUAGGUAAUUACUCCCAAAGCACUUUGUAUGCUCUGAUGACAUAUAAUGCUUAAAAAUUCCAAUUGUGACAAUUUAAAUUUUUGGCUUAUUUUCACCUAUUUUGGAAAUGUUAAUAAAUGAAGAUAAUUUUACUGUCAUAUACUUGAAAAAAUAAACAUAAUCUAAAUAAACCAUGUCUAAAAAUACUAUAAACAAGGAAUGCAGUUAUUGGGUACUUAUUAGUUGGCAAAUGUCCAAAAGUCAAUUUUAUAUCUUUAGAAAUUCAAUGGCACUUGACAGUCAACAAAUUACAUCUGAUAUAUUUUUAAAGUAGUAACACUAGAAAUAAUCAUUGAAAGCAUUAUCAAAAAAUUGCAUAUAAGGAACAGUAGAUUUGUAUAUACUGAAAAUAUUCAUUUUAAAAAUAGAUUUCUUGAGAGUUUUCAAGUGUAUACGUAAUUUAUACAUGAAAGCAAACUGUACAAAGUAAUGUUAUUCACAAAAUGUGCUUUUCAAAUUUAAUAUUUUUAAAUAUAUUGUGUUAUAAGAUUUUGUGUUUAGGGUAUCUGAAUUAAAACAUUAAAUCCAAGGUAAAACACUUGGCUUCAAUCAUUAUUCAUACCAGAUUUAGUCUGAUGUAAAAUAUAGAAUGCAUGAAGUUUGCUUGUAGUUCCUAUAUCCUACCAGAUAAACUGCUGACUAACUGGAAUUUGAAGUAAAUGGACAAGAAAAUCUAUCCUUUACUUCCAAAUUGUGUACAUUUUAUUAUGUAAAUUGCCUUUUAUAUUUGAUUAGUGAACAUCAAUAAGUUUUGUUUGCCUAGCCUUCCAAACUUACCUCUAUAGACGGUAACUGAUUUGUGAUUUUUAUGUACUUCAUUUGUUCUCGUAUGUCUAACUAGUAACUUUUAUAUACAUUCCUUAAAGGUAGAAAUUUUUGUCUCUUCA